AUGAACGCUGGCGGCGUGCUUAACACAUGCAAGUCGAACGGUGAAGGCGGAGCUUGCUCUGCUGGAUCAGUGGCGAACGGGUGAGUAACACGUGAGCAAUCUGCCCCUGACUCUGGGAUAAGCGCUGGAAACGGCGUCUAAUACUGGAUACGAGCUGCGAAGGCAUCUUCAGCAGCUGGAAAGAAUUUCGGUCAGGGAUGAGCUCGCGGCCUAUCAGCUUGUUGGUGAGGUAAUGGCUCACCAAGGCGUCGACGGGUAGCCGGCCUGAGAGGGUGACCGGCCACACUGGGACUGAGACACGGCCCAGACUCCUACGGGAGGCAGCAGUGGGGAAUAUUGCACAAUGGGCGAAAGCCUGAUGCAGCAACGCCGCGCGAGGGACGACGGCCUUCGGGUUGUAAACCUCUUUUAGCAGGGAAGAAGCGAAAGUGACGGUACCUGCAGAAAAAGCGCCGGCUAACUACGUG
rnacentral:rRNA from 1 species